AACGUAGGGACCAAGCGUUGUUCGGAUUUACUGGGCGUAAAGGGCGCGUAGGCGGCGUGGUAAGUCACUUGUGAAAUCUCUGAGCUUAACUCAGAACGGCCAAGUGAUACUGCUGUGCUAGAGUGCAGGAAGGGGCAAUCGGAAUUCUUGGUGUAGCGGUGAAAUGCGUAGAUAUCAAGAGGAACACCUGAGGUGAAGACGGGUUGCUGGGCUGACACUGACGCUGAUGCGCGAAAGCCAGGGGAGCAAACGGG
rnacentral:rRNA from 1 species